rnacentral:rRNA from 1 species
AUUGAACGCUGGCGGCAUGCUUUACACAUGCAAGUCGAACGGCAGCGCGGGCUUCGGCCUGGCGGCGAGUGGCGAACGGGUGAGUAAUGCAUCGGAACGUGCCCAGUAGUGGGAGAUAGCCCGGCGAAAGCCGGAUUAAUACCGCAUACGACCUGAGGGUGAAAGCGGGGGACCGAAAGGCCUCGCGCUAUUGGAGCGGCCGAUGUCGGAUUAGCUAGUUGGUGGGGUAAAGGCUUACCAAGGCGACGAUCCGUAGCUGGUCUGAGAGGACGACCAGCCACACUGGGACUGAGACACGGCCCAGACUCCUACGGGAGGCAGCAGUGGGGAAUUUUGGACAAUGGGGGCAACCCUGAUCCAGCCAUGCCGCGUGCGGGAAGAAGGCCUUCGGGUUGUAAACCGCUUUUGUUCGGGAAGAAAUCCUCUGGGCUAAUACCCCGGGGGGAUGACGGUACCGGAAGAAUAAGCACCGGCUAACUACG